rnacentral:rRNA from 1 species
GCGUAUGGCCGGCAUGCCUUACCAUGCAGUCGAACGGCAGCGCGGACUUCGGUCUGGCGGCGAGUGGCGAACGGGUGAGUAAUGCAUCGGAACGUGCCCAGUAGCGGGGGAUAACUACGCGAAAGCGUAGCUAAUACCGCAUACGCCCUACGGGGGAAAGGGGGGGAUCGCAAGACCUCUCACUAUUGGAGCGGCCGAUGUCGGAUUAGCUAGUUGGUGGGGUAAAGGCCUACCAAGGCGACGAUCCGUAGCUGGUUUGAGAGGACGACCAGCCACACUGGGACUGAGACACGGCCCAGACUCCUACGGGAGGCAGCAGUGGGGAAUUUUGGACAAUGGGGGCAACCCUGAUCCAGCCAUGCCGCGUGUGCGAAGAAGGCCUUCGGGUUGUUAAAGCACUUUUGGCAGGAAAGAAACGGCGCCGGCUAAUAUCUGGCGUAACUGACGGUACCUGCAGAAUAAGCACCGGCUAACUACGUGCCAGCAGCCGCGGUAAUACGUAGGGUGCAAGCGUUAAUCGGAAUUACUGGGCGUAAAGCGUGCGCAGGCGGUUCGGAAAGAAAGAUGUGAAAUCCCAGGGCUCAACCUUGGAACUGCAUUUUUAACUCCCGAACUAGAGUGUGUCAGAGGGGGGUGGAAUUCCACGUGUAGCAGUGAAAUGCGUAGAUAUGUGGAGGAACACCGAUGGCGAAGGCAGCCCCCUGGGAUAACACUGACGCUCAUGCACGAAAGCGUGGGGAGCAAACAGGAUUAGAUACCCUGGUAGUCCACGCCCUAAACGAUGUCAACUAGCUGUUGGGUUCUUCGGAGCUUGGUAGCGCAGCUAACGCGUGAAGUUGACCGCCUGGGGAGUACGGUCGCAAGAUUAAAACUCAAAGGAAUUGACGGGGACCCGCACAAGCGGUGGAUGAUGUGGAUUAAUUCGAUGCAACGCGAAAAACCUUACCUACCCUUGACAUGUCUGGAAUCCCGAAGAGAUUUGGGAGUGCUCGAAAGAGAACCGGAACACAGGUGCUGCAUGGCCGUCGUCAGCUCGUGUCGUGAGAUGUUGGGUUAAGUCCCGCAACGAGCGCAACCCUUGUCAUUAGUUGCUACGAAAGGGCACUCUAAUGAGACUGCCGGUGACAAACCGGAGGAAGGUGGGGAUGACGUCAGGUCCUCAUGGCCCUUAUGGGUAGGGCUUCACACGUCAUACAAUGGUCGGGACAGAGGGCAGCCAACCCGCGAGGGGGAGCCAAUCCCAGAAACCCGAUCGUAGUCCGGAUUGCAGUCUGCAACUCGACUGCAUGAAGUCGGAAUCGCUAGUAAUCGCGGAUCAGCAUGUCGCGGUGAAUACGUUCCCGGGUCUUGUACACACCGCCCGUCACACCAUGGGAGUGGGUUCUACCAGAAGUAGGUAGCCUAACCGUAAGGAGGGCGCUACCACGUAGGUCGG